rnacentral:rRNA from 1 species
CCAGACUCCUACGGGAGGCAGCAGUGGGGAAUAUUGCACAAUGGGGGAAACCCUGAUGCAGCAACGCCGCGUGAGUGAGGAAGUAUUUCGGUAUGUAAAGCUCUAUCAGCAGGGAAUAGAAAAGAAGGUACCUGAAAAAGAAGCCCCGGCUAACUACGUGCCAGCAGCCGCGGUAAUACGUAGGGGGCGAGCGUUAUCCGGAUUCACUGGGUGUAAAGGGAGCGUAGACGGCCAAGCAAGCCAGGGGUGAAAGCCCGGGGCCCAACCCCGGGACUGCCCUUGGAACUGCAUGGCUGGAGUGCGGGAGGGGCAGGCGGAAUUCCUGGUGUAGCGGUGAAAUGCGUAGAUAUCAGGAGGAACACCGGCGGCGAAGGCGGCCUGCUGGACCGCGACUGACGUUGAGGCUCGAAAGCGUGGGGAGCGAACAGGAUUAGAUACCCCUGUA